rnacentral:pre_miRNA from 1 species
GAUAUACUACCUCCGUCCCAAAAUUCCUGUCUUAGGUUUAUGUAGAAAUGGAUGUAUCUAAAUACUAAAACAUGACUAGAUAUAUUCAUAUCUAAACAAAUCUAAGACAAGAAUUUUGGGACGGAGAGAGUAUUAA